UGGGGAAUAUUGCACAAUGGGCGCAAGCCUGAUGCAGCCAUGCCGCGUGUGUGAAGAAGGCCUUCGGGUUGUAAAGCACUUUCAGCGGGGAGGAAGGCGUUAAGGUUAAUAACCUUGGCGAUUGACGUUACCCGCAGAAGAAGCACCGGCUAACUCCGUGCCAGCAGCCGCGGUAAUACGGAGGGUGCAAGCGUUAAUCGGAAUUACUGGGCGUAAAGCGCACGCAGGCGGUCUGUCAAGUCGGAUGUGAAAUCCCCGGGCUCAACCUGGGAACUGCAUUCGAAACUGGCAGGCUAGAGUCGUGUAGAGGGGGGUAGAAUUCCAGGUGGAGCGGUGAAAUGCGUAGAGAUCUGGAGGAAUACCGGUGGCGAAGGCGGCCCCCUGGACAAAGACUGACGCUCAGGUGCGAAAGCGUGGGGAGCGAACAGG
rnacentral:rRNA from 1 species